rnacentral:ncRNA from 1 species
CACCGCCCGUCGCUACUACCGAUUGGACGGUUUAGUGAGGCCCUCGGAUCGGCCCCGCCGGGGUCGGCCCAUGGCCCUGGUGGAGCGCUGAGAAGACGGUCGAACUUGACUAUCUAGAGGAAGUAAAAGUUGUAACAAGGUUUCCGUAGGUGAACCUGCGGAAG